ACCGAGUGCCAGCAUCAUAUGCUGGCUGUCCAGGUGUGUAAAAUACACCUGUUAGCAAGGGCCGGGCAAGACCGGUGCCAGCCGCCGCGGUAACACCGGCGGCCCGAGUGGUGAUCGUGAUUAUUGGGUCUAAAGGGUCCGUAGCCGGUUUGGUCAGUCCUCCGGGAAAUCUGACGGCUUAACCGUUAGGCUUUCGGGGGAUACUGCCAGGCUUGGAACCGGGAGAGGUAAGAGGUACUACAGGGGUAGGAGUGAAAUCUUGUAAUCCCUGUGGGACCACCUGUGGCGAAGGCGUCUUACCAGAACGGGUUCGACGGUGAGGGACGAAAGCUGGGGGCACGAACCGGAUUAGAUACCCGGGUAGUCCCAGCCGUAAACGAUGCUCGCUAGGUGUCAGGCAUGGCGCGACCGUGUCUGGUGCCGCAGGGAAGCCGUGAAGCGAGCCACCUGGGAAGUACGGCCGCAAGGCUGAAACUUAA
rnacentral:rRNA from 1 species